rnacentral:rRNA from 1 species
GACGAACGCUGGCGGCACGCCUAACACAUGCAAGUCGAACGGUGAAGAGGAGCUUGCUCCUCGGAUCAGUGGCGGACGGGUGAGUAACACGUGAGCAACCUGCCUUUCAGUGGGGGACAACAGUUGGAAACGACUGCUAAUACCGCAUAACGUCAUCGGGAGGCAUCUUCUGAUGACCAAAGAUUUAUCGCUGAAAGAUGGGCUCGCGUCUGAUUAGAUAGUUGGUGAGGUAACGGCUCACCAAGUCGACGAUCAGUAGCCGGACUGAGAGGUUGAACGGCCGACAUUGGAACUGAGAUACGGUCCAGACUCCUACGGGAGGCAGCAGUGGGGAAUAUUGGGCAAUGGGCGAAGCCUGACCCAGCGACGCCGCGUGAGGGAAGAAGGUCUUCGGAUUGUAAACCUCUGUUGAUAGGGAAGAAGAAAGUGACGGUACCUAUCGAGGAAGUCACGGCGUAACUACGUG